UGCGGCUGGAUCCCCUCCUUUCUAGAGUACGCGCCGCUAGUCAGGCGUCCACACUUAUCGGUUGGUUCUUGCAGCAGCGAGUGGCGCAGGGUGGCGCAGCAGUUGGGUUUGUAGUGGCGUCGCGCAGCGCCGGACCCUGACGAGAGUGAUUGUCGGAAGGGUCUGUAGCUCAGUUGGUUAGAGCACCGUCUUGAUAAGGCGGGGGUCGUUGGUUCGAAUCCAACCAGACCCACCACACUCGGUGCCGGCGCAGUGUCGGAAGGGAUGCCGGGGGUGUAGCUCAGUUGGGAGAGCGCCUGCUUUGCAAGCAGGAGGUCAUCGGUUCGAUCCCGUUCACCUCCACCACUUUGUGGCAGUCGUCAAACGACAGUCCGUAAUGCGGACUUCCGUUUGGCUUUUGGCCAAAUCGCUGUUUCGAUCUUUAACAAUUCGGAAGAAGCAAAGCGUUUCAACCCUUGCACCUGGUGAUGAGCCGGGAGUGGGUUGAUAACGGGUUGUGAUUGCAUUCGAGCUCUCAGCAAUAUCUGAGAACGGCAACGCGGUCGCUUGUUAACCGUGCCUGGCAAAAGGCGGCAGGGUUAUAGGAUCAAGCGACUAAGUGCAUGUGGUGGAUGCCUUGGCGAUCAUAGGCGAUGAAGGACGUGGCAGCCUGCGAAAAGCUGCGGUGAGCUGGCAAACAAGCGUUACUAGCCGCAGAUGUCCGAAUGGGGAAACCCGG
rnacentral:misc_RNA from 1 species